UUUGUUCCACUCCCAUCAGUGGCAGGAUUUUAUCUGGCUCGUUUCUUCACGAAGAAAAGCGUCUCAUCAUACUUUACUUUCGUUGUGCUUGGAAGCUUGAUGGUUAUAUGGUUUGUGAUGCACAAUUACUGGGAUCUGAAUAUUUGGAUGUCAGGCAUGCCUUUAAAAUCCUUUUGCAAGCUCAUUGUUGGUAGUGUUAUCCUGGCAAUGGCCAUUCCUGGUUUAGCUAUCCUCCCAGCGCAAUUUCGCUUUCUGACUGAGAUUGGUUUGAUUGGCCAUGCUUUUCUGCUGUGUUAUAUUGAAAAUCGCUUCUUUAGUUACUCUAGUGUUUACUACUAUGGGUUGGAGGAAGAUGUGAUGUACCCAAGUUACAUGGUAGUCAUAACGACAUUUAUUGGUUUGGCGGUUGUGAGGAGACUUUCCGCGGACAACCGCAUUGGAUCAAAGGCUGUUUGGGUCCUAACUUGCUUAUACUCCUCAAAGCUGGCUGUGCUUUUUGUCACAUCAAAGGGAGUUUUGUGGGUGUCAGCUGUCCUCCUGCUGGCUGUUUCUCCUCCCCUGCUUCUUUACAGGUAUCUCCUGAUCCAGAUUGAUGUGUCCUUGUCCCCUCCCCUCCCCCCCCACCCCUACCCAACAACUCAAUCCCAAGAGAAAGACAAUGAGAAAAACAGACCCCACAUACACCUAGGGAUGGCAAUGGAGCGGUGCGGGUAUGGAGCGGGUUUAAGACAAUGUGGGGCUGCCCCGGGGGGGGUGGAGUCUCUAAGCGGGUGCGGGGCAGAGUGGGGUGGGUCAAAACCUUUGUUUUUAAAAAUUAUGCGGGUGAGGGUCUCCUCCCUUCUUGUGUUCUAGUGCCUCUUGUUUGAUAAAAAUCUCAAAUAAUAUAGAAGUUUUCUCGUCUAUAUUUGAAGUUUAUUAUCAUGUUAGUAUUAAUAUAUCAACAGGAAAAUAUACUCGAUCUAAAAUUUGAAGUAUUUGUUUUGGUUAGUACUGUGAUAAACUGAUUGUUUAAUUUUCUUGAUUUAGCAGUCAAGUGAAAAAUGAAGAUUAUUGGUGCCAAUUCCAGUGUGAUGCAUUGUUCACACAGUUGAAUUAUGGAAAUUGGAUACUAUUAAUAUGACAAUUUAUUUAAAAGAAAAAAAAUCAAGGAUAACAAUAAAUUUAAAAUAUAGUUUCUUUAUUUGAGGUUUGGAUGCAAAGCUGUAUACAUUGAUGUGUAUAUAUUCUUGAUUACGUGAUCAAACAAAAAUAAUUAGGGAUCAGAUAAGAAUUUUGUAUGAACGGGGCGGGGUGAGGCGAGACGGGUUUAUGCGGGGUGGGUAGAUCAAAAUUUUUGUGGGUGAAGCUUUAUCCGCCCCACACCGCCCCAUUGCCAUCCCUACAUACACCAAAAGGAUUGUGUUCCUUUUUCAGAUUCCUAAUCUGUUUAUAUUGCAGGGACAAGUCAAGAACUGCCUCAAAGAUGAAACCUUGGCAAGGUUAUGCUCAUGCUGCUGUUGUUGCUUUAUCAGUUUGGUUUUGUCGUGAAACAGUAUUUGAAGCUCUUCAAUGGUGGCAUGGUAGACCUCCUUCUGAUGGUUUGCUUUUAGGCUCCUGCUUCCUCUUGACAGGAUUGGCUUGUGUUCCUAUUGUGGCACUUCACUUCUCACAUGUUAUGGUAUUC
rnacentral:lncRNA from 1 species